rnacentral:rRNA from 1 species
GACGAACGCUGGCGGCGUGCCUAACACAUGCAAGUCGAACGGAACUGUUUUGAAAGAUUUCUUCGGAAUGAAUUUGAUUUAGUUUAGUGGCGGACGGGUGAGUAACGCGUGAGUAACCUGCCUUCAAGAGGGGAAUAACAUUCUGAAAAGAAUGCUAAUACCGCAUGACAUAUCGGAACCACAUGGUUUUGAUAUCAAAGAUUUUAUCGCUUGAAGAUGGACUCGCGUCCGAUUAGUUAGUUGGUGAGGUAACGGCUCACCAAGACCGCGAUCGGUAGCCGGACUGAGAGGUUGAACGGCCACAUUGGGACUGAGACACGGCCCAGACUCCUACGGGAGGCAGCAGUGGGGGAUUUUGCGCAAUGGGGGCAACCCUGACGCAGCAACGCCGCGUGAAGGAUGAAGGUUUUCGGAUUGUAAACUUCUUUUAUUAAGGACGAAAAAUGACGGUACUUAAUGAAUAAGCUCCGGCUAACUACGUG